CUUGAAGGGACGAAAAUUCUAUUAUUCUCAAUAACAUCUGAAAUGAUCUAUCUAUAUAUUAUUUAUAGCAAAACGAAUGAUUC